rnacentral:rRNA from 1 species
AACGAACGCUGGCGGCAUGCCUAACACAUGCAAGUCGAACGAGACCUUCGGGUCUAGUGGCGCAUGGGUGCGUCACGUGUCGGAACCGGCCCUUAGGUUCGGGAUUACUCUCCGUCAGGGGUGCUAAUACCGGAUAACGUCCUCGGAUACAAGAUACAUCGCCUUUGUAUGCGCCCGCGUUGGAUUAGCCUGUUGGUAGUGUAAAAGCCUACCACGGCGACGAUCCAUAGCUGGUCAGAGAGGAUGAUCAGCCACACUGGGACUAAGACGCGGCCCAGACUACUACGGGAGGCAGCAGUGGGGAAUAUUGGACAACCGGCGAAGGGCUGAACCAGCAAUGCCGCGAGAGUGAUGAAGGCCGGAGGGUAGUAAAGCUCGUUUACCCGCGAUUAUAAUGACAGUACCGAGAGAAUAAGCACCGGCUAACUCCGUG